GUCAUCACUGAAAGAGGAAAACCUCACGUUAGCUCGACUGCAGAAAUAAAAAAAAUUACAUAAAAGUGACAAAAUGUGACUUUUGCUGAAGKAAAAUACAAACUCAGGAUUUACCUGAGGUGGCAGAUUCACUCUGAUGUUUCUSAACAUCUUCUCUGAUUGGACCACACCUGUUUACCUGCAGCCUGAGUGAUUUGUGUACGUUGAGUGCYUACCCACGGCUUGCUUUAAAAUGAAUGUGAUUCUUUUUCCCUUAAAGGUGUGUUUGAACAGGUCACUUUAUGUUUCAUACCUGAGGCAGAUGUGAGGACAGUUGGUUUUUACGCUGACAUGGAGACGCCGCUGCUGCAGAGCACAAAUACCUAAGCCACCGCGCUCUCCUUCAAAAUAAAAGCAGAGCAGAAGAAAAGCUGAAUUUCAGAUUUGUGUUUGGAAAAUGACUGCUUUUCUGUGGACUUUCAUAAWGAGAAAAACGGA